AGGAGGAGCACGUAGGAAUGCCGACCACUACAUAAGCCACUAGUGACUGAGAGAAAGUGAGCAGCACCUUGUAUAGGUUGGGCGGAGCUUAAAGAAGCAAGCCCCUAUCAGAGAAAGCCAUUGCGUGCUAGCCUAGCUAGCUAACGUUUUUCAGCUGACUGUUAUAUUAGUUGUAGCGCACCUUCCCUCCUUCUCUCACUUUGGAAAGGUUUUUUUGUAUUUUCUUAUGAUAACUUGGUCGAGAGAGUACGAUACAUCGGUGUAAAAGAUUUCCUUUUUUCUGUGAGCUUGGUUUACUUGACCGAAGGG
rnacentral:lncRNA from 1 species